CAGACUAUACCUUUUGUAGGGAAAGGGCAAAAAUGGAGAAUAUCUUUAAGAACACUAGACUGAAUUUCACUUGGACCAACAGGGGUCAGGUCACUCUAUAUCAAUAUCAUAAUUCUCUAUUUUUUCUUUAUAUUCCAUGCAAUGAAAAAUGAAAGCACGAUUCUCUAUAGGGAUAUGUACAUAAGAGAGAGACCAACUCGGUAUCCGUGUAACAAUU
rnacentral:lncRNA from 1 species